rnacentral:rRNA from 1 species
AUAUCAAUAAGCGGAGGAAAAGAAACUAACAAGGAUUCCCCUAGUAACUGCGAGUGAAGCGGGAAAAGCUCAAAUUUGAAAUCUGGCAGUCUUUUUUUUCUUCUUUGGCUGUCCGAGUUGUAAUCUAGAGAAGUGCUUACCUGCGCUGGACCAUGUAUAAGUCUCCUGGAAUGGAGCCUCACAGAGGGUGAGAAUCCCGUCUUUGACAUGGACCGCCAGUGCGUUGUGGUGCGCUCUCAAAGAGUCGAGUUGUUUGGGAAUGCAGCUCUAAACGGGUGGUAAACUCCAUCUAAAGCUAAAUAUUGGCGAGAGACCGAUAGCGAACAAGUACCGUGAGGGAAAGAUGAAAAGGACUUUGGAAAGAGAGUUAAACAGUAUGUGAAAUUGUUGAAAGGGAAACGCUUGAAGUCAGUUAUGUCGGCUGGGGAUCAACCUAGCCAUUUUUUUGGCUGGGUGAAUUUCCUAGUCUGACAGGCCAACAUCAGUCUUGACUGCCGGAAAAGAGCGGAGGGAAUGUGGCACCUUUGGGUGUGUUAUAGCCCUCUGUCAUAUGCGGCAGUCGGGACUGAGGGAUGCAGCGUGCCGCGAGGCUGGGUUUCGACCACGUUCACGCUUAGGAUGUUGGCUUUUAAUGGCUCCAAUCGACCCGUCUUGAAACACGGACCAAGGAGUCUAACAUGCCUGCGAGUGUUUGGGUGGAAAACCCUUGUGCACAAUGAAAGUGAAAGUUGAGAUCCCUGUCAUGGGGAGCAUCGACGCCCGGACUUGAGCUUUUAGCGASGGAUCCGCGGUAGAGCAUGCAUGUUGGGACCCGAAAGAUGGUGAACUAUGCCUGAAUAGGGCAAAGCCAGAGGAAACUCUGGUGGAGGCUCGUAGCGAUUCUGACGUGCAAAUCGAUCGUCAAAUUUGGGUAUAGGGGCGAAAGACUAAUCGAACCAUCUAGUAGCUGGUUCCUGCC